rnacentral:rRNA from 1 species
UACGUAGGGCGCAAGCGUUGUCCGGAAUUAUUGGGCGUAAAGAGCUCGUAGGUGGCUUGUCACGUCGGGUGUGAAAACUCGGGGCUUAACCCCGGGCCUGCAGUGGGUACGGGCAGACUAGAGUGCGGUAGGGGAGACUGGAAUUCCUGGUGUAGCGGUGAAAUGCGCAGAUAUCAGGAGGAACACCGGUGGCGAAGGCGGUUCUCUGGGCAUUACCUGACGCUGAGGAGCGAAAGUGUGGGGAGCGAACAGG